CCUACGGGAGGCAGCAGUGGGGAAUCUUGCGCAAUGGGCGAAAGCCUGACGCAGCCAUGCCGCGUGAAUGAUGAAGGUCUUAGGAUUGUAAAAAUUCUUUCACCGGGGACGAUAAUGACGGUACCCGGAGAAGAAGCCCCGGCUAACUUCGUGCCAGCAGCCGCGGUAAUACGAAGGGGGCUAGCGUUGCUCGGAAUUACUGGGCGUAAAGGGAGCGUAGGCGGAUAGUUUAGUCAGAGGUGAAAGCCCAGGGCUCAACCUUGGAAUUGCCUUUGAUACUGGCUAUCUUGAGUAUGGGAGAGGUAUGCGGAACUCCGAGUGUAGAGGUGAAAUUCGUAGAUAUUCGGAAGAACACCAGUGGCGAAGGCGGCAUACUGGCCCAUUACUGACGCUGAGGCUCGAAAGCGUGGGGAGCAAACAGGAUUAGAUACCCUGGUAGUCCACGCUGUAAACGAUGAGUGCUAGUUGUCGGCAUGCAUGCAUGUCGGUGGACGCAGACUAACGACAUUAAGACACCUCCGCCGUCGGGGAGGUACGGUCGGCGAAGUAAGUUAAAACUUAACGAAAGUAAAGUUAGUUACGGCGUUGAGACGUGCCGAACGGACGACGACGAGGGGAGGAGGAG
rnacentral:rRNA from 1 species